AGAUUGAACGCUGGCGGCAUGCCUAACACAUGCAAGUCGAACGGGAGUAGCAAUACUCUAGUGGCGGACGGGUGAGGAAUACGUAGGAAUUUGCCCUUAAGUGGGGGAUAACCCGGGGAAACCCGGAUUAAUACCGCAUGACCUCGAAAGAGCAAAGUGGGGGAUCGCAAGACCUCACGCUUUUGGAGAAGCCUACGUCGGAUUAGCUAGUUGGUGAGGUAAUGGCUCACCAAGGCGACGAUCCGUAACUGGUCUGAGAGGAUGAUCAGUCACACCGGAACUGAGACACGGUCCGGACUCCGUACGGGAGGCAGCAGGUGGGGAAUAGUUGGACAAGUGGGCGCAAGCCUGAUCCAGCAAUGCCGCGUGUGUGAAGAGGCCGUUGGUUGUAAGCUAACGUUUAAGGUUAGGGAAAGUAAAAAACUCGUACUACUAAC
rnacentral:rRNA from 1 species